AUGAAUAGUUACCGCCCCCUCCCGGUCUCUCUCACUUCACGUACUCGUUCCGGUCUCGGUGACGUGUGGGGUUGCUCGCAUGUGCCGCGUUUGUCAGCGUCUGGUGUAUGUGUUUUGCUGUCAAAAUAUCAUGCCACCGCCGGUAAUUUCGCCACCCCGCCGAGGGCAUUUUGUGGAAAUUUGCGUGCGUGCCCGUGCGUGGCGUCGUGUGGGUGGUUGAAUUUGGCGUCAGAUUGGGUAGGAACCCUAGCCCAUUCUCCCCGUCGUGCCCCUCUCCCCUUCUCUACCGCCGCCGCCGCCGCCAGCGCAGGCCGCGGACACGACGAGGAGGCGGCCGGCAUCACCGCGCGCCGCCCGGCCAAGGUCUUCUCCCGCAUGCGCCACCUCCUCGCCAAACCUUUCCCCUACGCGCGGCCCUCGCCGACUCGCUCUUCCUCCCCUACGACCUCGUCCAGGACGCCCGCGGCGCCGCCGCCGUCCGCGCCGACGGCGGCUAGGUCAGGGAUGUUAGGGUGUGGCUUAGCAGCGCGACAGCAUCGUGGGUGGCGUGCGGAUGGGCACGGAGCCACGGACGCCGCCGUCCCCAACGACGCCCCGUCCCGGCGCUCCUCGAUUCCUGCUUGGACGGCGACAAGUUCGAGCCGCGUCCGUCGACCCCGACAUCGCGAUCCCAUCUGUCACGCCGUCUCCUUGCUCCUUGCAGGGAUUUGGCGCUGUACACGCUCGUCAUGGGCGCCUGCGGCGUCGACGGCAAGGAGCUCCACCUCGUGCACCACAGCCAGCGCCACAUCAAGGUUCCCUCUCCUCCCCUCCCCUCCCCCUCGGAUAAUUAAUCCCCUCUUUUUUCUGUGCGAAUUGGAUGUGCUGACAAAUUCACUCACCUCCCUGUCUCAGACCGCCAUCAUCCCCGCCUCCUCCGCGGCCUCCUCUCCAUCGCUGCUGAGGAAAGCGGCGCGCCCCGUUGGGAAGCGGGUGGCCCGCGUCGUCGCCCCCCAAGACGUGGCAGAGGCGGCGACGGCUGCGGAGGGCGCGAAGAAGGCGGCAACGGGGAAGACGGACUCGAGCUGCUCGGCCCUCUCUCCCUCGGCUCAUGGCGGUGCCGGAUCCGGUGUCGGGGUCGAGGGGCGCGCAGGAUCCGAGCACGGCGGCUCGUUGGCUCUCCUAGGCGUGUUCCUCCUCCCCAGCGGCGGUUGUGGCGAAGCCGACACCAAAGGUCACCCAGCGGCAAAGCCACAGCCACACCUGCGCUCACUCAGCUCCGGCCACUGUAGUUGGUGGACACGGGUUGUUCCUACCUUUGAUGUUUUGGCCGGAUCUGUGCUUCGGUUCUCUAGUCAUGCUCAAAGCUGGCAAGCUGUGUCAACAAAUAGACCUACACCCGCUGCUCACUUCAUGGGCAUGGAUCAAAGCCUUGAUCAGAAGAGUGAGUCAAAGGCUGAAGUCAAAUGCAUGCCCUGCCCCAUUGCAGAAGAGAGCUGCAUCAGUCCACUCGAAUCCAACCCCACGCAGCUGGCGAAACCCAGCGCCGCACGCCUCGCUGCCGGAGUGCCGAGCGACCAACUACCACACCACCACUACGCAUGGCGCCCAUUAAAACCACCACAACUCUUCGUCCUUCCUAGCAACAUGCUGCCCGGCGACUCCUUGCUGCCGGAGGGUGCGACGGCAUUGGAGAUCCCCUCCGACCGCCCGGCCACCGCCUCCAUUUUCAAGGGCCCUGAGGACCCUCCUGCCGCGACUGCGGUCCGCGGUCUCCCUGGCGUAUCACUCCAGGACUCCGGCAUCAAGGUGUACUUUUCUGGCCACCCCGAUAGCUCGGGACUGAUCUACGCGAGGCGCAUGGCGUACGCGUGCAUCACCCCGCAAGCAGCACCGUGCCGCGCGAACCCAAUGCCCUUCAUCCGCCGCGUCUUCCACACCUUGGCGCUCGACCUCCCGCAGACCUUCAAGCUCCUCCCUCCGGUCUAUGGCGGCGAAGACACGCCUAUCUUAUUCCACACCCCCCGUGAGCGGGAGGCGGCCAUGCGCAGGCAGCCGUUCCAGCUCGACGGCGUCUCGGUGAAGCUCGUGCCUGUUCAGAUUGUCCUUAACAUUUCCCACGGCUACAUGGUCCACGUAGCACUGCACCACUACCCUAUCGAGCAGCGAACGGGGAUAGAUGCCAAGGACAACUGCCGCAGAUUUGGGGUUGCGCGUGAGAUCGACGGUGCUUGCCUGGGAGCACCCGACCUCUCCACAAUCUGCGUUGUCCUGGAGGUCGAGCACCCUCGAGAAAUCCCCCACGAGCUCUGGAUCUACUACGACGAUGGCUCCGCAAGCGUCGUCCCUGUAGAGAUCGUCAGGGUUUGGGAACGCUCACACUCCUACGACGCCAAUGGACGGUACAUGCCUCUCUUCAAGUGCCCACCUGAGAGGCCGAUCAGUGAGGGUGAAGCUAUGAGGGCUCUGGCCAUUUGGCUGCGUUCAGUGGCGAAAACACAAGGCAUGAUGUUUGGUUUCAUGCAACGGUUGUUGUCUGUUAAUCUCUUUCGCGAGGUGCUGGAGCAACGGAGAGUUGUCCUAGACUUUCACGACGACGACCUCGUCGUGCCUCCCGCACUUGGUCACCACUUCAAUGCCGUCGUCGUUGAAGACGAUGACCUUGAGCGUGUUGGGAGUCAGCAACUUGAACGUCACCAUGUACCCGAUCUUGAUCUGAUGGACAACGGCGAAGUGACCCUCCAUGAGCAGUUGGUGUUCAUCUUGAGCUUAAACUCCAUUGGCAUGACCGGGAAGUGCUUGGUGAAGUCCUGGAGCAUUGGGAUCACCUUACAGAAGUGA
rnacentral:rRNA from 1 species